rnacentral:rRNA from 1 species
UAGUUGGUGGAGUGAUUUGUCUGGUUAAUUCCGUUAACGAACGAGACCUCAGCCUGCUAAAUAGUUAAAUCUUGUUUUUACAAGGUUUUAACUUCUUAGAGGGACUACGCAGCAUACAAGCGCGAGGAAGCUUGAGGCAAUAACAGG